AGCUGGCGGCGCGCCUACACAUGCAAGUCGAACGAGAAUCCGGGGCACUCGGUAGUAAAGUGGCAAACGGGUGAGGAAUGCAUGGGUAACCUACCCUUGAGAAGGGAAUAACCCGCCGAAAGGUGAGCUAAUACCCUAUACGCUUCUCUUUUUAUGAAGAGGGAAGGAAAGCUAAGCCGUGGGCUUGGCACUCAAGGAGGGGCUCAUGCCCUAUCAGCUUGUUGGUGGGGUAACGGCCUACCAAGGCUACGACGGGUAGCUGGUCUGAGAGGAUGAUCAGCCACACUGGCCCUGAAAUACGGGCCAAACUCCUACGGGGAGGCACCAGUGAGGAAAAUUNGCCCAAUGGGC
rnacentral:rRNA from 1 species